rnacentral:rRNA from 1 species
AUUGAACGCUGGCGGCAGGCUUAACACAUGCAAGUCGAGCGGGGUGAUGGUGCUUGCACUAUCACUUAGCGGCGGACGGGUGAGUAAUGCUUAGGAAUCUGCCUAUUAGUGGGGGACAACAUCUCGAAAGGGAUGCUAAUACCGCAUACGGCCUACGGGAGAAAGCAGGGGAGCACUUGUGACCUUGCGCUAAUAGAUGAGCCUAAGUCGGAUUAGCUAGUUGGUGGGUAAAGGCCUACCAAGGCGACGAUCUGUAGCGGGUCUGAGAGGAUGAUCCGCCACACUGGGACUGAGACACGGCCCAGACUCCUACGGGAGGCAGCAGUGGGGAAUAUUGGACAAUGGGGGGAACCCUGAUCCAGCCAUGCCGCGUGUGUGAAGAAGGCCUUAUGGUUGUAAAGCACUUUAAGCGAGGAGGAGGCUCUUUUGGUUAAUACCCAAGAUGAGUGGACGUUACUCGCAGAAUAAGCACCGGCUAACUCUGUGCCAGCCGCCGCCGUAA